rnacentral:rRNA from 1 species
GUUAGGAAUAUUGGACAAUGGGCGCAAGCCUGAUCCAGCCAUGUCGCGUGAGUGAUGAAGGCCUUCGGGUUGUAAAGCUCUUUAGUCCACGAAUAUAAUGACUGUAGUGGAAGAAUAAGCCCCGGCUAACUUCGUGCCAGCAGCCGCGGUAAUACGAAGGGGGCGAGCGUUAUUCGGAAUCACUGGGCGUAAAGCGUGCGUAGGCUGUUUUGUAAGUCAGAAGUGAAAGCCCAGGGCUUAACCCUGGAAUUGCUUUUGAAACUACAAGACUCGAAUUCGGGAGAGGAUAGCGGAAUUGUCAGUGUAGCAGUGAAAUGCGUAGAUAUUGACAGGAACACCAGUGGCGCAAGCGGCUAUCUGGACCGAUAUUGACGCUGAGGCACGAAAGCGUGGGGAGCAAACAGGAUUAGAUACCCGAGUAGUCC